rnacentral:snoRNA from 1 species
AGCACAAGUGAUGAUCUGACAAGGGACUUAAUUCUGAAGUCUGAUGGACAGACACACUGUAAGCAGCUGAUGUGC